rnacentral:SRP_RNA from 1 species
CGGGCGUCGUGUCCGGUUCGAUGUCUGCGGUGCCGGGCGGCUGCCGAGAAAUCUCUGAUGCUGCCGGCAGC